rnacentral:ncRNA from 1 species
CUUGUGGCGUUGAUGAGGCUAGUACGGAUGAAUGCGGUGUACAGAGAACUGACUGAGUGGUGAAAGGUCGGUCAUUGAAUGCAUUCGGAACCCACCUCAGAGCUGGCAGUGAGGAACUGUCCGGGAUCCCUCCGUUAUUUUGGGUGCACUCUAUUGGUGAUUUGAGCGGGCCGUGUUGCGGCCAACGAAGGUGGUACCACGGGGAUUAACCCCCGUCCUUUUU